GGGUUGUGAGGUUAAGCGACUAAGCGUACACGGUGGAUGCCCUGGCAGUCAGAGGCGAUGAAGGACGUGCUAAUCUGCGAUAAGCGUCGGUAAGGUGAUAUGAACCGUUAUAACCGGCGAUUUNAAGGCGCGCGAUACAGGGUGACAGCCCCGUACACAAAAAUGCACAUACUGUGAGCUCGAUGAGUAGGGCGGGACACGUGGUAUCCUGUCUGAAUAUGGGGGGACCAUCCUCCAAGGCUAAAUACUCCUGACUGACCGAUAGUGAACCAGUACCGUGAGGGAAAGGCGAAAAGAACCCCGGCGAGGGGAGUGAAAAAGAACCUGAAACCGUGUACGUACAAGCAGUGGGAGCACAGAGCAAUCUGUGUGACUGCGUACCUUUUGUAUAAUGGGUCAGCGACUUAUAUUCUGUAGCAAGGUUAACCGAAUAGGGGAGCCGAAGGGAAACCGAGUCUUAACUGGGCGUUAAGUUGCAGGGUAUAGACCCGAAA
rnacentral:rRNA from 1 species